AUUGAACGCUGGCGGCAUGCCUUACACAUGCAAGUCGAACGGCAGCACGGGAGCAAUCCUGGUGGCGAGUGGCGAACGGGUGAGUAAAGUAUCGGAACGUGCCCAGUCGUGGGGGAUAACGUAGCGAAAGUUACGCUAAUACCGCAUACGAUCUAUGGAUGAAAGCGGGGGAUCGCAAGACCUCGCGCGAUUGGAGCGGCCGAUAUCAGAUUAGGUAUUUGGUGGGGUAAAGGCUCACCAAGCCGACGAUCUGUAGCUGGUCUGAGAGGACGACCAGCCACACUGGGACUGGGAGACGGCCCAGACUCCUACGGGAGGCAGCAGUGGGGAAUUUUGGACAAUGGGCGAAAGCCUGAUCCAGCCAUGCCGCGUGCAGGAUGAAGGCCUUCGGGUUGUAAACUGCUUUCGUACGGAACGAAAAGGUUUGGCCUAAUAAGCUGAGCUCAUGACGGUACCGUAAGAAUAAGCACCGGCUAACUACGUGCCAGCCGCCGCCGUAA
rnacentral:rRNA from 1 species